UACGGAGGGUGCAAGCGUUAAUCGGAAUGACUGGGCGUAAAGCGCACGCAGGCGGCCUGUUAAGUCAGAUGUGAAAUCCCCGGGCUCAACCUGGGAACUGCAUUUGAAACUGUCGGGCUUGAGUUUCGUAGAGGGGGGUAGAAUUCCAGGUGUAGCGGUGAAAUGCGUAGAUAUCUGGAGGAAUACCGGUGGCGAAGGCGGCCCCCUGGACGAGAACUGACGCUCAGGUGCGAAAGCGUGGGGAGCAAACAGG
rnacentral:rRNA from 1 species